CAGAACACAAAAACCUUUAUUUCACAGUGGCCUUAUAAAGCAUGCUCCCAUGCAAGGGAGGGAUUUCCAUCAAUUACUACAGUAUCCAAUCCUGUUCCGGUAUUCUCCCACACAUCCCCUCCCCUCAGCCUGCAUCAUAAUCCCCUUAUCCAGGACACCAAUUCCCCGUUUCUGGAUGUACCCCUAAACCUAGGGGUACCACUUUAAAUUAUACAUCUCCUGGUAGCGCUGAUCUGGGUGAACAACAUAUCCAAAAAUCACCCAGAUCAGACCAGGGGUUCGGGAAAUUCAUGGAGGGAAUAAAAUGACCGACCGCGCUGGAAGGUAUAGCCCGAAUUGGGCUCCAUGCGAUGGCAAUGGUAUUGGAAGGUUAUGUAGAGUUACUUUAAGAAUAAAAUCUAAAAAAUAGCAACAGCAAAAACUGAAAUUAAAGAUUCCCACUGGAGCUAGAGACAGUGUUGCGCCACUGUGCCACGUUAACUAUAUGCUAAAUAGGUGGAAAUCAAAGGGGAGCCAUACCCUCUACCCAGAGAGUCGUUAUGCGCUAUGCAUGCCACAUAGAGGGCCACUUUGAGACGUAUGUGUCACUGGUGCUCAUGUCUCUGUAAGUAUACUAUAAGUUAGCCAUGUUCAGUUAUAUGCUUAUUUCCCCUUCUACUUGCUGUGUUUGAGGGUUUUCAUCGAGUGUCCGAUUUGAGUUCCAGACACUCGACGGCAAAACACCGCUGUUCGGGAGUUUUCAAAUGGCCGCCGCCACGUGUUCGUUUCCCGAAUGGCGGCCACCCCAGAGAACAAAGGAAUGCUACUCAGCUUGUCAAUUACCUGUUCGCAACAAUGUUGCAACGGGUAAUUGAAGGCACACUUCACACAGGGAAGGUCUGACUGUUCGGUAAGUUCAUUCGAACAAACUAAGGGAAUGAAACUACCGAACAAUCAGACGAACACAAUACAUUUAACACAUAUAACUUUGCCAUUUACACAAAUGCAGUCAAGGUUAAUACAAUUCCCAGGACAGCCUAGUGUCAUCCGCUACAAAUUGAACACUACGUAAGUAGUCAUGUAGCCGGUUUAAAAUAUGCCAGCUGUAAUAAUAUAGCUAGACUAGACCAUGCGGGCUCCUUCUCUGGAUGGCACACCUCUGAGGUCAUACCAGCCUAUUUAACUGACAUCCUCCCUGCUGCUGUGAUGGGCAUGAUAGGGCAACCAUUAUUUCCUACUUUGUUAGCCUCCCAUGCGCAUUCACCGACCAUAGAGCCCAGCAGCUACCCGGCUGAAGAAUUAACUACAGUUUAGAGUUAUUUUAUCUUGAUUUAUUAUACUCGACUAAGUUAAUGCCUAUCCAUAUAGUAGGUCUCAAACAAUCUUACUGUUUUCUUGUUAAGAGACAUUAUAUGCCUCAAUAUGUUUAUCUUCUAAACAAUGUGCAGUAUUAUCACAUGCCACAGUCUUAGGCUUCUUGAAAUAUCUGUAUUUACUGUCGUGGCAUGGCAAACCUGUCU